rnacentral:lncRNA from 1 species
CUAGCAUCUAAACUCAGUUGUUUAACAUUAUCAUAUAAAAGUCUCAAAUUUCAAAAAUCAAUGUUCGAAAUAAAAAAAAAACUUCAAACAGCUUUUCUGACAGCACAACAUACCAGUAAACAAUACUAAAAACAAAAGAUAAAGCAAAAGAAAUUAAUCUGUUCAGUCUAAUGCAACUAUACUACAAUCGUAAAUAAUUGUAAACGCACUAGCUUCUUGAAGAUACAGUGUUACAAAACUUCAGCCUAUUCUCACAAGAGGAUUUCUGCCAACAGAAACAAAAUUGCCGGAUGUGGUUCCAAUCAUUAUCUUAAAGAUUCACAUCUUCAUUUUGUUGAGAUCCUGCAAUAUGAAACCAAAAAGGAUGCAUUAGAACAUGUCCAAACUUACCUUAUGCAUUUUGCUUUUUUCCCCAAUCCCCAUUGCACCUUCUCUAAUAAAACACCAAUUGCAGAACUUUUUUAACUAGUAUUCAAUUCUGUGAAGUGAGAUUUGAAAAUCCAUUUAUGACAAGAGAGACAUUAACAAACAGUGACAUACAUUUUGCAAAUCCUUCAUUUUGACUUGAAUA